rnacentral:rRNA from 1 species
AACGAACGCUGGCGGCAGGCCUAACACAUGCAAGUCGAACGGACCUUCCGGGGUCAGCUGCGGUCGGGGGAGUAACGCGUGGGAAGAUGCCCUUCUCUACCGAAUACUCCUGUUUAGCUGGGGGUAAUGCCGUAUACGCUCUUUGGGGAAAGGAUUUGUCGGGGUAGGAUUAGCCCGGGUUGGUUUAGGGAGUUGGGGGGGUAAUGGCCUACCAAGCCGUCGAUCCUUAGCUGGUUAGAGAGGAAGAUCAGCCACACUGGGGCUCGGACACAGCCCAGAAUCCGAGGGGAGGGAGGAGAGGGGAAUCUUAGACAAUGGGGGCAACCCUGAUCUAGCCAUGCGGGGUGAGUGAUGAAGGCGGUAGGGAAGUAAAGCUCUUUCAGAUGAGAAGAUAAUGACGGUACCAGCAGAAGAAGCACCGGCUAACUCCGUG